GGGGGUGAUUGGUCUCGACAGCGGCUGUCGAGUGAGGUGAAGCGGGCCGAGGAAGGCAACGAUGAUCUCGUUAACCAUCCGUUGCAAAAAAAUCAAGCGCCGACAACAGUCAGCGCGAGUUCGCCCUCGCCGCCUGAGCGAGUAGCGACUCCGUCAGUCCGGGUGUUCCUCCGACCCGGAUACUGGCGCCGUUAAGGAGGAUUACCUGACGAUCCGGUAACGGGAUCCGAUGGGACAACAAACAGUUACUGGGCCUGUCACACCAGCACGUUCGCAUGACUGGUGGGGUCAAGUAGAGACAACGCGAGCUGCGCCCGGAGAAGCCCUCACAACACAACGUUGGACGCGGGUUCGAUUCCCGCCACCUCCACAG
rfam:Nakamurella panacisegetis strain P4-7,KCTC 19426,CECT 7604 genome assembly, chromosome: I